rnacentral:lncRNA from 1 species
GAAUAAGAGUGGUGAACUCCUGUGUUUCUCUCUUAUGAGAGAGAACUAGUUUUGAAUAAAAGGCGUGCCUUUCUUUUCAAAGAGGGAGCUUUCCCAUAUUUUGAAAUUCCUAAGAAAGUUAUUGUGCAUUUAUUUGAGAUAAAUCAUCAAGUGUUCCAUAUUUACUUGGUGAUUUAUCAAACACUUUCUUCAUUCAUAUUGCAUUCAUAUGCAUGUCAGUGACUUAUAUGGUUGAGGGCACCAAGAUCGUGGUGGCGGUUUUCCUCCAGCGACCUUGAAGCAAUCGUGACCAGUAUUGCGUUCAACAUAAGGAGUGUCGAAGAUCAUCUGACAGAAGUUGAGUUACGAAGAAGUCGGUAAAGAUUAUCUAGAAUGAGUCUAGGAUAAGUGUGUGAGUACUUCUUGUAAUCAUCGUUCAAUAGUGGAUUUGUGUUGGACUGAGGAGUCUCGUGGAUUUUUCCUAGAGGUGGGGUUUUACCACGUAAAAUAAUUCUCUGCGUAUUCUUUUAUUUUUAUGCUCAACACAUUCCAGGAUUGAUAAGCCAUAUCAAUCCUGCUACCGAAGUUUAAUUUUUGUUUAUUUAUUAUAAUAUUUAAUUGGCCUAUUCACCUCCCCUCUAGGCAUUUUAAGUCAUCCUACAUGUAUUAUCAGAGAAGAUGAAAAGAUGCAUGGGUGGUAGUAGUAGUAGUAGUGGUAGUAGUAGGGGAGAGAGAGAGAGAGAGAGAGAGAGAGAGAGAGAGAGAGAGAGAGAAUAUGAG